GUGCAUCAGAAAAGGAGAGAUGGUUGGCAGUCUCCUGCACAAGGUCGGACAGGGCAUCUGAUGCCCACUCUCCCCUGAGGCGUGAAACAUCCGCUACUUUCGGAUGGCCUUUUUCCCAAAUAUAUAU
rfam:Schistosoma curassoni strain Dakar, Senegal genome assembly, scaffold: SCTD_scaffold0016524